GGUGAACGCUGGCGGUAGGCCUAACACAUGCAAGUCGAACGGCAGCACAGUAAGAGCUUGCUCUUACGGGUGGCGAGUGGCGGACGGGUGAGGAAUACAUCGGAAUCUACUUUUUCGUGGGGGAUAACGUAGGGAAACUUACGCUAAUACCGCAUACGACCUACGGGUGGGAGCGGGGGAUCUUCGGACCUUGCGCGAUUGAAUGAGCCGAUGUCGGAUUAGCUAGUUGGCGGGGUAAAGGCCCACCAAGGCGAAGAUCCGUAGCCGGUCUGAGAGGAUGAACAGCCACUCUGGAACUGAGACACGGUCCAGACUCCGAGGGGAGGCAGCAGUGGGGAAUAUUGGACGAUGGGCGCAAGCCUGAUCCAGCCAUACCGCGUGGGUGAAGAAGGCCUUCGGGUUGUAAAGCCCUUUUGUUGGGAAAGAAAAGCAGCAGGUUAAUACCCCGCUGUUCUGACGGUACCCAAAGAAUAAGCACCGGCUAACUUCGUG
rnacentral:rRNA from 1 species